rnacentral:rRNA from 1 species
UGACGACCUCAGAGCAGGCGAGACUACCCGCUGAAUUUAAGCAUAUUACUAAGCGGAGGAAAAGAAACUAACAAGGAUUUCCUUAGUAGCGGCGAGCGAACAGGAAUUAGCCCAGCACUGAAUCCCGCGGUUCUGCCGUUGGGAAAUGUAGUGUUCGGGAGGGUUCGUUUAUCCCGCGGCGUCGGACCGCGUCCAAGUCCAUCUUGAAUGGGGCCAUUUACCCGUAGAGGGUGCCAGGCCCGUAGCGACCGGGACGCGCCGUGGGUGAACCUCUCCUUAGAGUCGGGUUGCUUGAGAGUGCAGCUCUAAGUUGGUGGUAAACUCCAUCUAAGGCUAAAUAUG